rnacentral:rRNA from 1 species
AUUGAACGCUGGCGGCAGGCCUAACACAUGCAAGUCGAACGAGUGGCGGACGGGUGAGUAAUGUCUGGGAAACUGCCUGAUGGCGGGGGAUAACUACUGGAAACGGUAGCUAAUACCGCAUACCAUCAGAUGUGCCCAGAUGGGAUUAGCUAGUUGGUGGGGUAACGGCUCACCAAGGCGACGAUCCCUAGCUGGUCUGAGCGGAUGCCCAGCCACACGUGAGCGAAGACACGGUCCAGACUCCUACUGUGGGCCGCAGUGGAGAAUAUUGCACCAUAGGCGCAAUCCUGAUUCAGCCAUGCCGCGUGUAUGCAGAAGGCCUUCAGGUUUUACAGUACUUUCAGCGGGGAGGCGUUACCCGCAGAAGAAGCACCGGCUAACUCCGUGCCAGCAGCCGCGGUAAUAC